ensembl:lncRNA
AGGAGCGUAGAAACAGAAGAAGCUGGAGGAGAAACAAGCACGGAAAGCUCAGAGAGAGGUUACAACGAUGCUGCUGCAUCUCACCUUUCACCCGUAUCAGGAGUCUGGUCAUUAAUGUGUGUGUUUCAGGCCGAGCUGGAAGAGCGAGAGGAGAGGAGGAAGAUGCAGGAGCUUAGACAUCAAGAGAGACAGAAAGAAGAGGAGAAGGACAGACUGCAAGAGCAAAAACGGGAGGAGGUGUUACAGCGUGCCAAGGAGGAGCAGGAGCGGAAGGAGGAGGAGGAGUACCAGCGGCUGAGGGAGUGUUUUGUGAUCGAGGAUCAGGGAGAAGCAGAGGAGCUCAGUGAACAAGAGCUGCGUCUGCUUUACUUCCUCUGCAUCACUAGUCAUCUCAUGUUGAUGUGUUUUGCAGCCUGCUGCAGGAGUUCAUCCAGUAUGUCCAGAUGAAUCCUUGAAAUCUAAAGUGGUUUUGCUGGAGGAUUUGGUGUCCCGCUUCGCCAUGCGCACACAGGUCAGUGUUCAUAGCUGACCUUUGACCUCUGAACACAUCCUGGUGCUUUUAGAUGAUUGUUGAAUGUGUUUCUGUAUGUCAGGAUGCUAUUUCCAGACUGCAGGAGCUGAUAGCAGACGGCUCCCUGACAGGUGCGUGUGUGACUCAAUAUAACUAUAUUCUGACGUGAAGCAAUAACUUUACACCAAAACAUGUUUUAGAGUCUCUUACUUGCUUUGAAUGAAACUAGGAAACUCAGAAAAUACAUUAAUGGACAUUGUUAAAAACCUUUCUCCUGGGAAAUAUUAGAAUUUUAACUAAAUAUCAUUUUGAAAGAUUGUAUGUAAUUGUUAUUUUUAUAUAUUUAGUUUGUAAAAAAUAAUAUUUUGAAAUAAUUAUAUACUGUUCACUGAAGUAUUGUUAGUAAAACUAUUUUAAAUCUUAUUUUUGGU